UACGAAGGGGGCUAGCGUUGUUCGGAAUUACUGGGCGUAAAGCGUACGUAGGCGGACAUUUAAGUUAGGGGUGAAAUCCCAAGGCUCAACCUUGGAACUGCCUCUAAUACUGGGUGUCUUGAGUCCGAGAGAGGUAAGUGGAACUCCGAGUGUAGAGGUGAAAUUCGUAGAUAUUCGGAAGAACACCAGUGGCGAAGGCGGCUUACUGGCUCGGUACUGACGCUGAGGUACGAAAGCGUGGGGAGCAAACAGG
rnacentral:rRNA from 2 species